ACGGAAGGCAGCAGUGGGGAAUAUUGCGCAAUGGGGGAAACCCUGACGCAGCAACGCCGCGUGAAGGAAGAAGGUUUUCGGAUUGUAAACUUCUGUCGCAAGGGAAGAAGAAAGUGACGGUACCUUGUGAGAAAGUCACGGCUAACUACGUGCCAGCAGCCGCGGUAAUACGUAGGUGACGAGCGUUGUCCGGAUUUACUGGGUGUAAAGGGCGCGUAGGCGGGAUAGCAAGUCAGAUGUGAAAUACCGAGGCUCAACCUCGGGGCUGCAUUUGAAACUGUUAUUCUUGAGUGUCGGAGAGGAAAGCGGAAUUCCUAGUGUAGCGGUGAAAUGCGUAGAUAUUAGGAGGAACACCGGUGGCGAAGGCGGCUUUCUGGACGAUAACUGACGCUGAGGCGCGAAAGUGUGGGGAGCAAACAGGAUUAGAUACCCUGGUA
rnacentral:rRNA from 1 species